UCCCCCGCAAAGCCAAAACCCAAAACCCAAAACCCAAAACCCAAAAGCAAAUUCAAAUGAACUCUAAUAUAAUUUGGGAGAGACGUAAAACUCAACUAUUCGUAAUAUUGGGGAUUUGGGGUUUCACACAAAACAAACCCCAAAAUCCAUCUCCCGCAAAACCAAAACCGCGCAGCACCACCCGGUCUCCUCCGCCGUACUGUAAUACUACUGCCGCUCCUUUUCAACCUAUGGUGUACGCCGAUCGACUCUCUAUCACUCCGAAUUUCAAGCGUGACUCUCUGCUCAAGUGCUCAGGUACAAAGGUGUGAGGACUCUAGACCUCUAAAAAUUGAGUUGAGAGGAAAAAGAACACUGUGAUUCGGCUUCCGAAGGUAUUGGGAGCCAAUUCACGCGAUAGAGUAAUACUGGAUGCACCUUGCAGUUGAACAGGGGUGAUAUCUAUGGACAAAUCUAUAAAAUCCUCUAAAAGCUUUGAAGAGAUACAGAAGUGUGCGCAACUUGCAACAGCAACUUCUCCUAGCUGCUAUUGAUUUGGUGGAUGCAAAUUCAAAAACUGGAGGAUAUGAUGUGUAUUCGACAUGUUCCAUCAUGGUUAUGGAGAAUGAAGCAGUUGUUGACUAUGCCUUGAAGAAACGGAAUGUGAAACUAGUCCCAUGUAGACUAGAGUUUGGAAGGGCAGGAUUUGUCAACUUUAGGAAAUAUCGAUUUCAUCCAUCAUUAAAAAUGACGCGGCGUUUCUAUCCCCAUGAGCACAAUUUGGACGGUUUUUUGUUGCCAAGGUAAAUCUUUACUGUCCGUCUCACUCACCACUAAAAAAGUGAUAGCCUAGAUGGAAGACAUGCUUGUUAUUUUGUGAAUAUCACCAACCAAAUAACGAUGAAGAUGAUGAUAACGAUGAUCUAGUUUGACUUAAGCUAGCUCAAGGAGAUGGUUACCUCAGUCCAGUCCUGCAGACGAACUGCCAAAUCUGGUUUUUGUUGUUGCUGCAGAAGUUGCUGUUGCUGCAGAAUCUGUUCUUGAUGUAGAAUUUGUUAUUGCAGCAGAAUCUGCUCUUGCUGCUACACCAUCCCCAGUUGCUGCAGAAGCUGUCUGCAGAGGCUAGCUCUUUGAUUUUUUUUAAAUUUUUUUAAUAGUGAUAUUGGAUUUUGUUUUUUUUUUCCCGUACCUUGUGUAAAUCAUCUAUAUUUUGUCAAUGAAUAAUAGGAAUUUUUUUAUUGAAUGAACAAUAUUAUUUUGUUAUUAAAUGAAGGGAUUUUUGGAAA